rnacentral:rRNA from 1 species
UCCCCCGAGAUUUUUGAACCCCCCCGUUUUGGGGGGGAUGAUUUUGUUGGGUAAUCCGGGGGUUUUGGGGUCCCAAAAGGGAAGGGGUUUUUGGGACCCGUUCUGCCGUUGAAAAUUGCAAAAGCCUUGGGGCCCAACCCGGGUUUGGAUCCCCGGGGUAGGGUCCCCCCGCCUUAACGAUGAAUUUAGUCCGUGGUGUCCUAGGACUCAGUGAUGCAGUAACCCUUAACUUCGCCUGGGAGUCCGGUCGCAAGGAUAAAACUCAAAGGGAAUGGACGGGGACCCGCACAAGUGGUGGAGCAUGUGGUUUAAUUCGAAGAUACGCGAAGAACCUUACCUAGCCUUGACAUAUAUCGGAAUUCUCCAGAAAUGGAGAAGUGCCUUCGGGAGCCGAUAUACAGGUGCUGCACGGCUGUCGUCAGCUCGUGUCGUGAGAUGUUGGGUUAAGUCCCGCAACGAGCGCAACCCUCGUCCUUAGUUGCUAACGGUUCGGCCGAGGACUCUAAGGAGACUGCCUUCGCAAGGAGGAGGAAGGUGAGGACGACGUCAAGUCAUCAUGGCCCUUACGGCUAGGGCAACACACGUGCUACAAUGGGAAGGACAAUGAGAAGCAAUAUCGUGAGGUGGAGCAAAUCUAGAAACCUUCUCUCAGUUCGGAUAGCAGUCUGCAACUCGACUGCUUGAAGCUGGAAUCACUAGUAAUCGUAAAUCAGCUAUGUUACGGUGAAUACGUUCCCGGGUCUUGUACUCACCGCCCGUCACACCAUGGGAGUUGAUUUCACCCGAAGCGGGGAAGCUAAACUGGCUACCCUCCACGGUGGAAUUAGCGACUGGGGUGAAGUCGUAACAAGGUAACCGUAGGAGAACCUGCGGUUG